rnacentral:rRNA from 1 species
UACGUAGGGUGCAAGCGUUGUCCGGAAUUAUUGGGCGUAAAGAGCUCGUAGGCGGUUUGUUGCGUCGGCUGUGAAAUCCCGAGGCUCAACCUCGGGUCUGCAUUCGAUACGGGCAGACUAGAGUGUGGUAGGGGGAGAUCGGAAUUCCUGGUGUAGCGGUGAAAUGCGCAGAUAUCAGGAGGAACACCGGUGGCGAAGGCGGAUCUCUGGGCCAUUACUGACGCUGAGGAGCGAAAGCGUGGGGAGCGAACAGG